CAAGGGUGAUGACAUCCAGCAAAUUCUGUGAAAUGAGAAACUUGGUAGUACGUAAAUUAGAAAAAAAAAAUGCACCAUUCACUAAAUGUUUUAUGCCCAAUCUAAAUAUCUCAUGUCUUCUUUUCUCUUGAUUUAUAGACACAUAAUGUUGAAGAACUCACUGUUAGGCCAAGAUCAUAUGAAGGUCUGUGCUUUUGAAAAUGCUGUGUUCUGAUCCGUGAAGACCUGUUAUAUUCCUUUCAUGAAUGCUACAGUUGCUCGUGCUAAACAACUCACAGUAGUGCUACUGGUUCUGGAGCUUAUGGGGAACUGCUGGAUCAUACU
rnacentral:lncRNA from 1 species